UUUUAUGUCUAUGCUAUGUUUGACUUAAUAGAUAGCGUUUUGUGAAUUGUAAACGCUAUAAAUGAUUGAAGCGGGAUAUAUGAAAUUCACGCGGCCAAUUUUCGGGUUACUAAAGUUCAAUUCCCGCUAUUAAAAAUGUUAAGAGGGAAAAAAUUUCUGAUUUUGUCUAAGGCAAAAUAAAUGAAAACAAUAAAAAUCACUUUUGCAUUUUUUCCCUCACUAACAAAGAUAAAACACUUAGAAAAAAAAAAGCAAAAAGAACACUAAGCUUUCUCUCGUGUUCCCCUUCUCUCUUUCUCUCUACCUGUACAAAGCUUUGUCGUUGUCGCCGUGAAAUUCCGAGACGACCUUCGCCGCCGUUGUCGUCGCUGGCAUCUUAUUCCAAUUUCACAGGUAGCUCUCUGGGUCAGAUUUCGUGAAGAUUCUACAAAUCCUUUGUCCAAAGAAGACUUGAGCUUAAUCGUAAGAUUGUGAAUCCUUUCUCUCCUUGUUGUUCUAUUUUUGUUCUGCCAUGUUUGUUAAGGAGAUUGAAUAUGUUAGCUAAGUUUAGAGGUUCUGAUGGGUACUGUGCCAAUAUUGCAAAUUGUGUUUCUCUUGAUCCUCCUGUUAUUAGUGGUAUGAAGUCGCAUGAUCAUCAUCUCCUUAUGCAAAACUUAUUGCCUGUUGCUUUGAGAGGAUUGCUACCAAAAGGACCAAGAGUUGCUGUGACUCGAUUAUGCAACUACUUCAACAGGUUGUGCCAGCAUGUGAUUGAUCCAGAGAAGCUGAUUUCUAGUGAGUCUGAGUUAGUUGAGACAAUGUGCCAAAUGGAGCGGUUCUUCCCUCCUUUUAGGAUAUGUAUUGCUUUGAUUGUCAUCUGUAGCUUCUUAGUUUGCUCAGUAGCUGCAGAAAUUUUGAUGUCCAAGAACUGUUAAUAGAUAUUCUCAUCAGCUAGGAUUUAUCUUUGCUUGUUCUCUGAUUUGGCUAAAUUGAUGAUUGAUUCACAUAUAUCUUUUUGCGAAUAGUGAUACUGUCUCAAUACGAGUUAACCAUUGACUAU